AACAACAUACAGCGCACAAACACACAUACACACACAAAACACACAAGCAUUUGAAAAAUGACAGCUGGCUCAACCGGUUCGAUGAAGCCAAAUUCAAUAUGUUUCGGUGUGUGGUUUUAAGCUCAUUCCUCACUCAAGCUAGACGUCCUCUUACUAGCGGCCCAGGGGGAAUCGGUUGCCAUGUUGGACGUAAACCUAGCUCCUACCACAUAACCAGACAGACAGUUAACAGAUUCUUAUUACGCUUUUUCUUCUUCUUGUCUUGGUCGUUAAAGGGAAAAAUCUGCAGUUGCUAUGUCCAUUUUUGGACUUUAAAAGAGAUGAUAUAUCCAUUUUAUUCUAGAAGAAUAUAACUUAUAAAUUGCCUCACGCGCUUAGUUCAAUUGUCUUACCCCAUCACAACCCAAAAUAUAAGCUGGUUUUACUCCAAUGUUUGUAAACAAACACUGUGUAUAGAUUUAAAACAUGCCUAAAACUAUAAGUUUGAUGUCAUUGAUGGUCAGUUUUUGCAUCCAUAGCUCCAUCUAUAUAUUUUAGUAGUUACAUUUCUUCAGCCCCAUCCCCGAGCUAUUUACGAAAGUACUGGUGGCGUGACCAUUUUGUAAUUGUUUGAACUGCAGAUUGCCCAUUUAAAGAGCAGGUCAUUAGGGUGGCCGUCUUCAGCAGCUGUUUUUGCACUUUUGCGCACACACAGACAUACAUACAUACACUCACACAGAGACUGUGUUGAUUCUGCUCUUAAUGACUGUGCUGGGCUCAGUCGGCUGCGAGGCUCCUCAUUAGAGAGACAGGAACAGCAGUCGACACCACCAACUACCGUUGAUCUCAUCCUCCCACAUAUCGGCUCCCCGCUGCCACGGAGACGACACGCUGCUCAUAAUGUCCCCAACCCUAGGCUCCUUCUCCGGAGUACAUAGAGGGUCACCGGAACGGAAGGCUUACGUGCUCGGCGCACUGUCCCUCGUGGCCUUCACAAUGCCCACACUCCCACACAGCCUAGGAUUGGAGAAGGAUGGAGUACGAUGCGUGUUCUCACUCUAACUGAAGACAGGCAGACAGACAGACAUGGUCCUGUUGUGGCUGGUCUGUUCAGUCC